GAUGAAGAACGCAGCGAAAUGCGAUAAGUAAUGUGAAUUGCAGAAUUCAGUGAAUCAUCGAAUCUUUGAACGCACCUUGCGCCCUUUGGUCAUUCCGAAGGGCAUGCCUGUUUGAGUAUCAUGAACACCUCAACUCUCAUGGCUUGCCAUGAUGAGCUUGGACUUUGGGGGUCUUGCUGGCCUGCGGCCAGCUCCUCUCAAAUGAAUUAGCUUUCCAGUGUUUGGUUGGCAUCACAGGUGUGAUAACUAUCUACGCUUGUGGUUUCCACCAGGUAACCUUCAGUAACAUGGGGGUUUGCUGGAGCUCAUAAAUGUCUCUCCUCAGUGGGGACAGCUCUUUGAACGUUUGAUCUCAAAUCAGGUAGGACUACCCGCUGAACUUAAGCAUAUCAAUAAGCGGAGGA
rnacentral:misc_RNA from 1 species